AAUAGAAGAUCUUUUGUCCACGUCGGUUUGAGUGAUGCUGACUCCAGGCUAGACGAACAGUCUUCACCCUUUAACUGAGCAUCAGACGCCACAAUAAAAUCUGGGCAAGGAUUGUGUCUCAUGUGGUCUCUCUGUUGCAGUAUCUGCAGUUCAACUUUAGACCUGGAAGUAAUGAAAAAAAAGUAAUUAUCUAAAUAAUCUUUACCUAUUGUGCUAGUGUAAUUGUGUUACCUGCACAGGUGAGGGAUGAUUUCUCCAUGAUUUGACGAAGAGUAAAUGUUGCCAUCCAUGGGCUCAUUCACCGUUGACUCCGAGUCCUAACAGCAGAGUCCAGACAAUGCUCGGGUACGGGUGUGACGGCAGGACUGUCUUCCUCUCUGUACUGUUGGGCUUUAGAAGGCAGAGUGUGGUGCAGGCUGUUGGAGAGGGUGUUCAGUCUGAACAACAGUUCAUCCAAUAAGCCGUCAAAUUCUUCAAGCCAGCAGGCUAACAUCAACAUGUCCCCUGCUGUGGUGUCUCUGCAGCAGCUCCACAACUUCCAUCAUAACAAUGGAACGAUAGAUGUAACUGAUGUAGUACACUAG
ensembl:lncRNA